GGCAUAGCCUGCUGCUCCUCCCCUUGCCUCUGUUUUCAGGGUAAGGAGCCAACCUCACCGAUAUGGAAUGGCCAGCGUCUAUAAGGAAAGGGAAUUUUGGUGGCUGUUCCUGUGCCUAAAAUGUAGCCAUCUCUUCCAGCUCCUCCACAGCCCUUUAAUGAGAGUGCCCCGUAGGCUGCUGGGCCCCUGUGGGCAGGGUUCACGUGCAGGGCUUAAAGACUUCAUUAGCAGACAGUAACCCGCACCUGUCCAGCCCAGGAGCGCCAUUUCCCACUUCCAGGGCCUGAGCAAGAAACGCCGACCUGAGCUCCUGAGAGUGGAUUUUUCUUCUCCUUUCUGACCCAAGACAGAGAGGUGAUUUCACGGCAGAUGGCUCCACACUGGAGCGCUCAGCAUCGAACUCUGCUCCUGCAGCAGUUGGACGGCACAGACCUGCCCGGGAGCUUUGGUCAGACAGGCCCAGCCCAUGGAGAUAUUCUGGGCCCUGAGCACACAUUUUAGAACAAAGGAGAGGAGCGUGGGAGGAUGGCCUUCCUCGCAAGCCUGAAGGAUAGCGGGAAAUGCACGUAAGCAGAGAUGUGUGAGCACAGGAGACCCCAGCAAUACGUCUCGGCCAGUUGGAGCUGUCUCACAUGCUCAAGGCUCUCAAGGUGCCCCAUGAAUGCAGAAUUCCAGGGGACCCAUGAUGCAUGGGAAUCCAGUGAGACCCAGCCUCAACACAAGGCAAAAAGAAGGCAGUGCUAUUGCAAGAAGCAGGAACAUCUAAGGAAGUCAACUCUAUCCUUUCUUACUCAUGUUACUUCUCUGGAUUCGCCAACCACUCGUGCAGAUGACUUGAUGACUCCACAUACAAGUUAAAUGCUCUUAUGUGCAUUUAAAACUGGCAUUGCCCAAUUUAAUGGCCAGUAAAAUUGACAGUAAUAAUUAAAAAUUUUAAUUUAAUGACAUUAAGUAGAAAUAAAAAAAACACCAAUACUCUAGAGAGAGACACUGGAGGAAGGAAAAAGCUUUGUUUAAGUUCCUCGAAUGGUAUCUUUUCCCCCUGCUUUUUGAAUAAAGGGUCCCUCGAUUUUUGCCUUGCACAGGGCUUUGCAGUUUGAGUAGCUGCCUCUGAAGCCAGUG
ensembl:lncRNA